rnacentral:rRNA from 1 species
CUUGGUCAUUUAGAGGAAGUAAACCAGGGUUACCCGUAGGUCAACCUGCGGUUCGAUCAUUACAAAAUUGUAUACUUACCAAAAACACCGGUGUGCACCAUAAUGUUCUUGGUAGCGUAUUGGAUGGGUCACGUACCCCACAUCGGGCAGUGCACGUGAGGACUUCGGUCUUUGACUGUGCGAGUCAGCUGUGGGACCUACUGGCCUUUCUCGAUCGCUGCCGCACGUCCAAACAUUGUAUUACAAAAUUAUAGUCUGAAUCAGUUCACCACAAAGUGAAAUGAAAAACAACUUUUGACAACGGAUCUCUUGGCUCUCGCAACGAUGAAGAACGCAGCGAAUUGCGAUAAGUAAUGUGAAUUGCAGAAUUCAGUGAAUCAUCAAAUCUUUGAACGCACAUUGCGCUCUCUGGUAUUCCGGAGAGCAUGCCUGUUUGAGAAUCGAUAAAACCCUCACAUGUCCCUCCCUCUUUGGAACAGUUCAAAGUUGGGAGGUGCGCCUCUGUGGAUCUGGAUCGUUUGUGGACCUCCGAGUCUACAAUGAUCUUAAAUGAAAUGUCUACAGCUCUUGUUGUCCUCAACAAAGCCCAGAGUGCAUGAAUGGAGUUUGAAAGAACUUGAUCCUCACGAUGGUGUUUUGUUCAAAGGCUCACUUGUUGUGUACCCAACCAUUACAUUGGUGGA